rnacentral:lncRNA from 1 species
GGAGGCGCUGGGGCUGUCCUGGGUCGUCACAUGCGAGAAAUCGUCUCACCCCAGCCAGUGUGACGGAGUGAGAGCAAAAGAAAGUUUUGAUAGCAGCGUACGAUUUAUAUUCAGCUGUAUGCUGGGCAGGUCCAACUUGGCAUUUCUUGGCUGUAUCUCUGAAGGAAAGUCAUCUUAAUCUCUAUGAGCCUCCAUUUCCUCAGCUGUAAAAUGGGAAGAUCUUCCUCACACUGCUGUGACAUUUAGUGAGUGCCUGCUGUGUGUCAUCCAUUGUGACAGUGUUGGGAACACGGAGAUGAAUAAAACAAGGCCCCUGUCCUGGGA